GGUUAAGCGACUAAGCGUACACGGUGGAUGCCCUGGCAGUCAGAGGCGAUGAAGGGCGUGCUAAUCUGCGAUAAGCGCCGGUAAGGUGAUAUGAACCGUUAUAACCGGCGAUACCCGAAUGGGGAAACCCAGUGUGAUUCGUCACACUAUCAUUAACUGAAUCCAUAGGUUAAUGAGGCGAACCGGGGGAACUGAAACAUCUAAGU
rnacentral:rRNA from 3 species